rnacentral:rRNA from 1 species
AUACGAAGGGGGCUAGCGUUGUUCGGAAUUACUGGGCGUAAAGCGCGCGUAGGCGGAUACUUAAGUCAGGGGUGAAAUCCCGAGGCUCAACCUCGGAACUGCCCUUGAUACUGGGUAUCUUGAGUUCGAGAGAGGUAAGUGGAAUUCCGAGUGUAGAGGUGAAAUUCGUAGAUAUUCGGAGGAACACCAGAGGCGAAGGCGGCUUACUGGCUCGAUACUGACGCUGAGGCGCGAAAGCGUGGGGAGCAAACAGGAUUAGAAACCCCAGUAGUCC